CAAAGCUGUGCUGAAGCAUCACUUGAGAGGCAAGGGGACUCAAAUAGGGAAAGGAUUUUGUUCACCUGCCUUUGGGCUUUCUUUAGAAAAGCAAGUAAACAUGGAAAACAAGAUACUAUGGUGACAUAAAGGGAUAUUAGGAACUGAAAGGGAAAUAGUCUUACUUGGCUCUGACAGGAAUAUUUCCAAUACAUUUUUUGGCUGGUGGAUAAAAACACCAAACCUUAUGAGUGCCUGCUCCUAGAUGUGCUGCUGAAAACCCAGAAGACACAUUUUAAGGCUUUUUUUCCACAGCCAGUCCUAUGAGUAUUUAACUGAAGCCUGUGUGAAAAUCUGUAGCACAAGUCUCAGCUCCCACCUGGCCUCGUGACCAUUUGUUGCUGUGAAGAGAAGACCCACAGAAAUGGUUAAUGACUGUUUGAGGGCUGAUGGAGUAACUUUGGGGGCUUGUUUUUAAAUCCCUGUGUGGCCUCUGAAACCUGCCUGUUGAAGCAGCAUAUCACUGGAGAAGAAGCUAUUCCUGUGAGCCAGAUUUCUCUUAUGAAGGAUGAUGCAACAUGAGUCCUCAUCAGUCAGCUUUAAUGCAAGUUAAGCAGAAUAUAUAUUUGGCCUGAAGUGUAAUGGACACUUUGCUGCAUCCUGGAAAGAAAGAAUCUAAAUUGUUACAUGUUACUUCAAACCAGUAGCAAGGCAUCUCAGUGCUCAGCCUGGAUGCGGGUACCUUGGGAGCUCUGUGAGGGUCUUGAGGCCAGAAGCCCACCCUCCAACUUUUGAAGAACCUAACCCUCUCUUUACCCUGAAAAAAGGAAGAAAUAAAAGCUGUUUCAGCAGAAUCUUCAAAGUAGGCUGUUCUAGUGCACAGAGCAAUGGUGCUUAGGGAAAGGUUGAGCUAUGUCCUAGCACUCAGCUCUCAGAUUCUGUGUCACCUGGGUUUGCUGGACUACUGAUUACAGUCAUGUAUUAACUAUGGCUUGGAAUUAUAAAACAUGCUUUCCACUACAGCUCUGUAACACACCAUAAUUAAAACGAACCAUUUACUUUUUGUCAUGGUGCUACUGAUCCCACCACACCUUCCCUGCUACCUUGUGCUAUCCGAGUCUCAGCACCAUGGUCCCUGGCUUGCUUUGGGAUGCCAGGCUGUUUAUCUCCCUAGCAGAAGCAGGGUUUCCCCUUGUUUCUUUCCCUCUUAGCUAGAGGGAAUGUUCUGAUUCUGUUCUGAUAAAGUUCUGAUUUUAUUUCAUGUGUGAGCUCCCUGCUGGCACUGGAGUGGGAGGGAGCUGGAUGAGCCCGUGGCAGGGGCAGGGGUCUCCAGAGUCAGCCCCACUACAUCGAUUUCUGUCAGCCAAGGACCUGGCACUCAGCCUGUCCAAGGAAAUGUUACCAGUUGCUCCAGAGUGAGACACAACACACUCAUAGCACAUAUAACUGGGCAUUGCAGCAAUAUGCAGGAAUGGCAGAAACCGCUGGACCCCAUCAGCCAACAAGUGAGAAGCAGAAAGCUUGAAGCCCUAAGGAGAUUUUGUCAUGGUUUGUUUCCACCCUAUAAUUAUUUUAAUUCUAGUUAGUACAACUACAAACAUUACAUGUGGCGCCAUCAUCUUAAGCAGUAGAAAAUCCCACAGAUCAAUAGGAUACUGCAUUAUGUUAUUUCCCUUCAUUGCUUUUAGGUCUCACAUCUUCCAGGCCUUUAUCUCAGGCAGAAAUAAAUAACUACAUAACUGUUUUUGCAAGGGCAUUUUACACAUCCCUUAAGCUUUCUCUACAAAACAAAACCCAUUUUCAUAUCCAUCUUUAAUGGGGGUAGAAAGUGCUUAGUAUCCUACAGUAUUUAUGACUCUCUAGGUGCUUCUUGUAGGAGAUAUUGGAUAUUGGACUGACUAGAAGUGCUCAAAGCAGACACAGAACACAAGCUAACAUGAAGCCCAGUGUGAUUUCCAUCUCCAUCCCAGGAACCAGCUGUGAAGGCAGACAUGGCUCCUCUGCCCAAGGCAGCUCCCCAAGAUGAAUUGCAAAUAAAUCUCCAAUCAAAAAGCCCCACCAUACUUCAAAUUCAUUCAUAUACAUCCUAGAGAACCAUCUUUCCCCACCUUUUUUUUUUUUGGUGAUAAUCAAAAACCAGGCCUGAGUUGCCUGAGCACAGCCAGCACAGAAGGUUGUUGCUGCAGAAAAUAGCUCCUCCCGUGUGAUCAGAAUAUGAACAGCUGAGAACUUGCGUUAAAAGCAGAGAAGAAAAAAUGCUCUGCAAAACACAGCAAAGCAGCAAGGCUGCCUUUGACCAGAAAUAUGCUGCCAGCUCGUGGCUAGGGUACCUCACAGGGACACUGCAGAGAGGACUCCUGCCCUUAUCCUUCAUGGACUAAUUAAAAUGCUUUCAAGAGACUGCCCCCUGCAA